rnacentral:misc_RNA from 1 species
GUAGGAGUGAAAAUCUGAAAAGGCACUCCUAACAAAAUGGGAAGUAGGAGUGAAAACCUGAAAAGGCACUCCUAGUGAAAUGAGAAAACGCGAGAUUGAAAAGCAUUUUCUGAAAAAGAAGAAUUCGAAAGGGCAUUAAGAAAAAUGAACAAAAGUGGGUGAAGGAAAAUCGAGGCAAAUGAUAAAGAAGAGAAUAAAAUGCCAUGCUUUGGAACUACUGUUGGUCUUCCUAUCGACUUAUCAGCUUCAAGUUCAGGAUUAAGUAAACUUUCAAUCGGAUGAGAUUCUUCAUCAGUUUUUCUUUGAAGCUUAAAUAUUAAUAAAAUCUUGCAUGUCUUAGUUCUUAUUUAUGGAAAGUUUACACAGUGGUAAGUCGUUAAUAACCAUGCAUUCAUCAUAUGUUUAGC